rnacentral:rRNA from 1 species
AGAGUUUGAUCAUGGCUCAGGAUGAAUGCUGGCGGCGUGCCUAACACAUGCAAGUCGAGCGGUAACAGGUCUAGUUUACUAGAUGCUGACGAGCGGCGGACGGCUGAGUAACGCGUGGGAACGUGCCCCAAAGUGAGGAAUAACUGCCCGAAAGGGUAGCUAAUGCCGCAUAUGAUCUUCGGAUUAAAGGAUUUAUCCGCUUUGGGAGCGGCCCGCGUUAGAUUAGGUAGUUGGUGAGGUAAUGGCUCACCAAGCCUACGAUCUAUAGCUGGUCUGAGAGGAUGAUCAGCCAGACUGGAACUGAGACACGGUCCAGACUCCUACGGGAGGCAGCAGUGAGGAAUCUUCCACAAUGGGCGAAAGCCUGAUGGGGCAACGCCGCGUGCAGGAUGAAGGCCCUAGGGUCGUAAACUGCUUUUAUAAGUGAAGAAUAUGACGGUAACUUAUGAAUAAGCACCGGCUAACUACGUGCCAGCAGCCGCGGUCAUACGUAGGGUGCAAGCAUUAUCCGGAGUGACUGGGCGUAAAGAGUUGCGUAGGUGGUUUGUUAAGUGAAUAGUGAAAUCUGGCGGCUCAACCGUACAGGCUAUUAUUCAUACUGGCAAACUCGAGAAUGGUAGAGGUAACUGGAAUUUCUUGUGUAGGAGUGAAAUCCGUAGAUAUAAGAAGGAACACCAAUGGCGUAGGCAGGUUACUGGACCAUUUCUGACACUGAGGCACGAAAGCGUGGGGAGCGAACGGGAUUAGAUACCCUAGUAGUCC